rnacentral:lncRNA from 1 species
GCUCCUUAAAAGAGAACAUCGAGAGAUGUUUGUGGCUCUCCAAGAUAUCUAUCUUCAUAUUGAAUGGCUAAAGCGAAUGUCAAACUUAUAUAAGUAGUUGUUGACGUACUAUUAUGGCAAUAUAUUUUGUAGUUUUAAUUAUGAACUUCUAUUACAGAAUGAUGAUAGACUAUAUGUAUUUGUGGUAUCUCUUGGAUAAUGUAUCAUGGAUGCUAUUGAUUUUAUGGAUAUUAUAGAUGUUAUG